ACUUUCCUAUCAAUCUCCCAGCAAAUGCUGGACUGGCAGGGAGAUUGAUAGGAAAGUGG
rnacentral:pre_miRNA from 1 species